rnacentral:tRNA from 1 species
GGAGAGGUGUCCGAGUGGUUGAAGGAGGCGGUCUUGAAAACCGUUGAACCGCAAGGUUCCGGGGGUUCGAAUCCCCCCUUCUCCG